rnacentral:rRNA from 1 species
AAAAAUUUGGCGGUAUUUUAGUCUAUUCAGAGGAACCUGUUCUGUAAUCGAUAAUCCACGAUGGACCUUACUUAAAUUUGUUUAGUUUAUAUACCGUCGUUAUUAGAAAUAUUUUAUAAGAAUGUUAAUUUUCAAAAUUUUAUAAAAGAAAAUAUAUCAGAUCAAGGUGUAGCUUAUAUUUAAGUAGAAAUGGGUUACAAUAAAUUUAUUUAAAUGAAUAUAAAUUUGAAAUGUUUAUUGAAGGUGGAUUUGAUAGUAAAAUUAUAAAGAUUAAUAAUUUGAUUUUAGCUCUAAAAU